UAUUUGAAGAUUUUAGGUGGAUGGUUAGUUAAGAAGCAGCAAAAGGCCUUUCAGGCAUUGGCUGGCAAUGUAGACGUGCCCUCUGGAAGAGCAACUGCCCACCAGUAUAACCCCUGCCCACCAAGGCUUUCAAGGACCCCACACUGAUAGAAUGUACUUCUGUGAUCUGUGUGCUGUCUCCUGUGAUGUGGACUUGGAUGAUACAGGCAAGAGCCAAAUGCUCUGCCAUGGGUUCAGAGACGUGUGCUGACUACAGGGAAAUGAAGGCUGCCACCACCCUAUCACACUACAGGUGCUGCAGCCUCUACACUUGCAGCCUCCUCUGGGAGUGUAAAUCUCCCAGCUCAUUGCUCCAGGCUCUUUUCUGGUUUUCUCAAGGCUAGGUAGCCAAGCCACAGCCCUGAAAAAGGUGUCUCUUCCCCAUCACCUGCCAAAUUUUCACACUUGUGCUGGGGCACAAGACUUUUUAAAAUAAAUUAUUGUGAUUUUUUUUU